UGCAUUGAGUGACCCCUUGAUUCUAACGUAAAAAUAAUUUCUCCAGCAGCACUUCUUUGUUUAUUGAUUCUCAGUUGCUGUAUAUAGCAACCAUGUUAUGUUUACUGUGGACAGAUGCCCAGUUACCGGAAAAAAUAAUUUCACACGUCUCACUAUCUCCCGGUGUGUUAACCCGAAUCAGCUAUGGUCUGUUCCACGGAUUGUAAAAUAUAUUUAAACAACUAUUGAUAACGGAGUGGUUAACUUCGACAGAGUUAGUUUUUUUUGUGUUGUCUGUUAGACGGCUAAGACCGAUCACGCUCCAUUGCCAGAGCUGUUUUUGGCAAAAUUACUACGCUGAGGCAGUAAUGAACCGAAUGAUUUCGAGUUGUCGCAAAGUAUCAAGUCCUGAGAACCCUGGUGGGAUGAUUUUUGGUGCAAGGAAAUAUUGAGUGCUAUACUAUGGCUUCCGAUAUUUCCGCGUCAACACAGCGAGUCAAUGAAGAGCGAGACAUACGAUAGUUUGGAAUGAUUAAUGUAUCUCUAGUAAAGCGACCGUUUGACGAUUUCCGUUUUCAAAAUGUCUAAAUCGUUAAAGGAAUUCGUGACCAUCCAGAAACAGCGGAAUUCAGAAACAGCCAUUCAGAAACAGCGGAAAUACUAUCGUUCCCUAUUUCAGUAAUUGUUUUAUAGAACUUAGAGUAAAAUUAUCGGAAUUGACGAUGUAUUUAUUAAAAGUUUAUCGCUGCAUUAUUGAAAAUAUAGGCGAAUAAUUGUAUCGUUCGAA